rnacentral:rRNA from 1 species
CCAGACUCCUACGGGAGGCAGCAGUGGGGAAUAUUGCACAAUGGGGGAAACCCUGAUGCAGCGACGCCGCGUGAAGGACGAAGUAUUUCGGUACGUAAACUUCUAUCAGCAGGGAAGAAAAUGACGGUACCUGACCAAGAAGCCCCGGCUGACUACGUGCCAGCAGCCGCGGUAAUACGUAGGGGGCAAGCGUUAUCCGGAUUUACUGGGUGUAAAGGGAGCGUAGACGGCAGCGCAAGUCUGGAGUGAAAUGCCGGGGCCCAACCCCUGAACUGCUUUGGAAACUGUGCGGCUCGAGUGCAGGAGAGGUAAGCGGAAUUCCUAGUGUAGCGGUGAAAUGCGUAGAUAUUAGGAGGAACCCCAGUGGCGAAGGGGGCUUACUGGACUGUAACUGACGUUGAGGCUCGAAAGCGUGGGGAGCAAACAGGAUUAGAUACCCUCGUAA